rnacentral:rRNA from 2 species
UGCAUAUCAAUAAGCGGAGGAAAAGAAACCAACAGGGAUUGCCCCAGAAACGGCGAGUGAAGCGGCAACAGCUCAAAUUUGAAAUCUGGCCCUUGGGUCCGAGUUGUAAUUUGUAGAGGAUGCUUUUGGCGAGGUGCCUUCCGAGUUCCCUGGAACGGGACGCCAUAGAGGGUGAGAGCCCCGUCUGGUCGGACACCGAGCCUCUGUAAAGCUCCUUCGACGAGUCGAGUAGUUUGGGAAUGCUGCUCAAAAUGGGAGGUAUAUGUCUUCUAAAGCUAAAUAUUGGCCAGAGACCGAUAGCGCACAAGUAGAGUGAUCGAAAGAUGAAAAGCACUUUGAAAAGAGGGUUAAAAAGUACGUGAAAUUGUUGAAAGGGAAGCGCCUAUGACCAGACUUGGGCCCGGUGAAUCAUCCAGCGUUCUCGCUGGUGCACUUUGCCGGGCACAGGCCAGCAUCAGUUUGGCGCGGGGGAAAAAGGCUUUGGGAAUGUGGCUCCCUCGGGAGUGUUAUAGCCCAUUGUGUAAUACCCUGCGCCGGACUGAGGUACGCGCAUUGCAAGGAUGCUGGCGUAAUGGUCAUCAGCGACCCGUCUUGAAACACGGACC